AGCGCAACAGGAUCCACCGCGCGCGUAACCACCAGAUAGUCGCGCAGCACGAUGGAAUGCCGGUUCUC
rnacentral:sRNA from 1 species